CCCCCCCCCCAUUCACUUUUAAGUGCAGUGCCAAAUACCAACUAUGCAGCAUGACAUAGCCUCCUCCACAUGAAUGCUGCUGCGAUGCAUGUACAAUUUCUACAAUGUAAUGCAACACCCUCGGAAAUAUACAUUGCAACCUUGUGAUCAAUUUACAAGUAUAUCACAAAAAUUUGCAGUUUAUAAAUAAAUGUGUAUAAAAUGUCUUUAUCUUCGGUCGCUGAACUCAUUUAUCAAUUAAUAUAGUUCAUCUCUCUCUGUUUUUUUUUUAUAUCACAAAAUGUAUGUGAUUAGCCUUUUGCUUAUCUCCUGGCUGAACCUUACUCCAUGUAGUAAUAAUAAUAUAAAGCAUUGCUCACCUGAAUCGUACAUACAGAAUAAAAAUUGUCAAUAAUCUUUUAAGAUGUACUCUCUACUGAUAUAUUCACACAUUUAUAUCACUUGAACACACAUUAGACAAAAAAA